AAGUGAGCAAAUUGAGGAGGAGCCCUCACAGCUUUGAUUGGUGUUCUGGAUCAAUGGCUUUUUAUCAGUGUUGAUGAGCUGUGAGGAGGAGGGAAAGGUGGUGAUAGGGAUCUGUUAUCUUCCUGACACUCAUCUCAUUUGUGAACAGCGGGAAUCCCAAUUCCAAAACACCAAAGAAAAACCAACAGAAACUCGUAUAAAGCAGAAAACUGUGUUAGUCAAUAGCAUUGUAUUUAUUGCUUAUACUCGAUGUACCGUUGACGUACCUUAGC